rnacentral:rRNA from 1 species
GACAGAGGUCCCGAGCGUUAGGCGGAAUCACUGGGCUUAAAGCGUGUGUAGGCGGAUGCCUAAGUACCUUGUGAAAUCCCACGGCUUAACCGUGGAACUGCUCGGUAUACUGGGUGUCUUGAGCCACUUAGGGGCUACCGGAACAAAUGGUGGAGCGGUGAAAUGCGUAGAUAUCAGGAGGAACACCAAGUGCGAAGGCAGCUCGCUGGGACGUUACUGACGCUGAGACGCGAAAGCGUGGGGAGCAAACAGG